CGUAAACCGGAAAUGGCGCGUCCAAAGAGGGAGAGCAACUGAAUCAAGAGUCGGCAUUGCCCACGCUAACAAAGCACAGUCUUACCUUUGAUGCCGAACUUGGAGUUCCCUGCAAACUUGAUGAUCGCCAACAUGAGCAGGAGGCCGAAGAAGGCGACGGCGGCGAUGCCCACCACCACGUACACCUGCAAGAAUGUGAUGAAACACCACUGAAAACACACCAGCCGCCAACGAGGAAACAGGUCCGGUCGCAGGGGCAGCAGUCUCAGUAGGGAAGCCCAGACUUCCUGGUCCCCGGCCACCUCUUCCAGUUCCACCGGGAGGACACCAAGGCGUUCCCAGGAUGGGGAAAGCGUUGAUGCCCCUCUCCGGGUCCACGCAGGAGAUCCUGGUGCUGCUGCAGGUGCAUGAGGACGGGCAUGCCUCGGCGGACAACCACGGGUCCCCGGAGCCCGUCGACAUCCCCACCAUCACCACCCAGCAGCUCCACCAGCAGUAAGUCCGCCACGGUCCGGACGACCCUCUUCUCGACCUCACCCUCCCCGACGACGGAGACUCAACCCCGCCGCCACCGGCUCUCAGUGCGCUCAUGUUGGGUGCAAAUCUCAGCCAAGGCGCGCCGAGCAGCCACCGCUGCUUGAGUCCAGGGUAACGGCUGCCAAUCAAGGAAGAAGCUUCCUGUGAAAUCCUCCACCAGCAGGAGAAAUCACAAUGUCACACUGAGUGGAUGGUGCCAAGCCUCUCUCUCUUUUCCCUCUUUCUCUAUAGCUCUCUCUCUCUCUCCCUCUCUUUUUUUCUCUCUCUCUCCCCUGAUUGGAUGGAUGGUGGAUCCAGAGAGCUGCUCACGUCCUGCUCUUUGCGGUCCAGUUCGCAGAUCCUGCUCGAGUAAGCUGACUCAGCUUCAAGUUGUCACUGACUCAAUGACAGUAGAGCUGAAUCAAUAAGCAGCAUGUUUCACCUUGCAUGUGACAGCGAAUGACAUCACACGUCCGCACGGCUCCUCCUACUGUAGCAUGACGUUUGUGGUGACGCACAGGCACUGCCGCUGAACACAGGAGCGUAAUUAUGGAGUGUGUGUAUGUGUGCCACACACACACACACACUGGCUCUGUGGCCCUAAUUAAAAGGCUGUCACAACAGAAUAUUCCAACUAAUUGUCUCCUUCCUGUAGACAAGUGACGGCUGUUCCAUGCUUUUAAUGAAUUAUGCCGUUUUGUUGCUAAUGCAACUGCUAAUGUGCUCAUGACAACAUGUUACGUUUAGUCUGCCCUUAAAUGCCUACAAGGCCCAGCUACAGAUGAUGAUGGAUAGAUACAUACAUUAUAUUUAAGGACUGCUUGUUUGCAAUAAUUCAUGCAAGUCAUCAAACGCUGUGGUCAGUCUGUGGUCCACUUAACACUACUUCCCUUCUGAUGGCUUGCGCCAUUAUAGUUCAAGUCUGCUGUAUGUAUAACACAUUUGAAUGGCUGCUUGUCCAGAAGUGUCCUGUGAUUGGCCGGUGACCAGUCCAGGGUGGACCAAAAGUCAAGGAUCGACUUUCUCCUCACCUGUGACCCCACUGAGGCCAAGCGCUGUAGAAAAUAGGUCAAUGUAAUUUAAUAAUGAAGAUAAUUAUAUGGCAGGUGCUGAACUUUUUUUUUUUUUUAUUAAAGGAUAAAAAAAUCCAAAGCUACAUGUCCCUGUGUGAAAAAUGAUUGCCUCAUAAACAUAAUACCUGGUUAGUUCACCCUUAGCAGCAACAAUUGCAAUCGAGUGUUUGCCAUAACUUGUAAUGAGUCUCUUACAGCGCUGUAGAGGAAUUUUGGUCCACUCAUCUUUGCAGGAUUGUUGUCAUUCAGCCACAUCGGAGGGUUCUCCAGCACAAAGCGCCUUUUUAAGGUCAUGCCACAGCAUCUCAAUAGGAUUCAGGUCAGGACUUUGACCAGGCCACUCCAAAGUCUUCAUUUUGUUUUUCUUCAGCCAUUCAGAGGUGGACUUGCUGGUGUGUUUUGGAUCAUUGUCCUGCUGCAGAACCCAAGUUGGUUUUAGCUUGAGGUCACCAACAGAUGGCCGGACAUUGUCCUUCAGGAUUUUUUGGUAGUCAGCAGAAUUCAUGGUUUCAUUUAUCACAGCAAGUCUUCCAGGUCCUGAAGCAGCGAAACAGCCCCAGACCAUGACACUACCACCACCAUAUUUUACUCUUGGUUUGAUGUUCUUUUUCUGAAAUGCGGCGUUACUUUUAUGCCAGAUAUAAUGGGACACACACCUUCGGAAAAGUUCAACUUUUGUCUUGUCAGACCACAGAGUAUUUUCCCAAAGGUCUUGGGGAUAAUCAAAAUGUUUUCUGGCAAAAUUGAGACGAGCCUUAAUGUUCUUUUUGUUCAGCAGUGGUUCAGCAGGCCGUUUUUGCCCAGUGUCAUUCUUAUGGUGCAGUCAUGAACACUGACCUUAACUGAGGCAAGUGAGGCCUGCAGUUCUUUGGAUGUUGUUGUGGGGUCUUUUGUGACCUCUUGGAUGAGUCGUCGCUGCGCUCUUGGGGUCAUUUUGGUUGGCCGGCCACUCCUGAGAAGGUUCAUCACUGUUCCAUGGUUUCGCUAUUUGUGGAUAAUGGCUCUUACUGUUUUUCUCUGGAGUCCCAAAGCUUUAGAAAUGGCUUUAUAACCUUUUCCACACUGAUAGAUCUCAAUUAACGUCACUUAAGUUAUGUUUUAACAGGGCAGGCAAUCACUUUUUCACACAGGGCCAUGUAAGUUUGGAUUUUUUUAUCCCUUAAUAAUAAAACGAUUUAAACUGUAUUUUGUGUUCAGUUGUGUUGUCAUUGACUAAUAUUUACAUUUGUUUGAUGAUCUGAAACAUUAAAGUGUGACGAAAAAAAAAGAAAUCAGGAAGGGGGCAACAUGUAUAUAAAUUGACAACAAUUUUUUGUUUAAUAAUUCAAUCACAAUCAGCUGCUAACAGUAAUUGCCGCUCUUAAGAGGAAAAACGGCAAUUAUUACAAUUAACAUCAGGUGAUUGGGAUUUAAAUUAAGCAAAGAAAAACAACACAAGUUUAAAAAAAAUCUAGAAUACACACAUACGUGUACGUAUGUGUGAUGUUUAUACAUAAGUGUGUAUGUGUAUAUACUGUGUAUAUACAGUAUAUACUUUAUAAAAACAAAAGUACAUUUCUACUUUUUUUUAAUCAACUGUUAUUUAAUUUUUGCCUCUUGAGCGUCUACUAUUCCAUUUAAUUAUAAAAAACAACGUAAUGCAAAUACAUAACGAUACUCACGUGAACUCACAUGAACCUACCUUGACCAGUUCCUGCGUAUAAGAGAAGUUAGGCAACGCUGCCCUCUAGUGUUACCAACUUAGAUUGCUCCUGAAUCUAAUUUCUACCCCAGUGUGUACGUGUGUUUGCGUGCACCUCUGCCCAUCCAGCUCAUUAAACAGUGUUCAGUGGAAGAAAAGUGGGGUGGAGCCAUUAUGGGAAGAGGCACAUACAGGUGAGCCUUAAAAGCUUGGUGAGGCCCUCCCCCCUCGUGCUGCAACUUGAGCAGGAAGAUGAUGGAGAGGAGGUAGGAAGUUUCCAAGCUUUUGAAUUGGUUUAGUUUACGUUUGUCCGAAUCAUCUUUGUUAGCAGAGAGAAGAUAUAGAUUAUUUAUCACUCCAUCUUCCAGAUACUAUGCAUGUUAUUGUUAAUGCAUCCACUAGUUUUCAUCAUUUCACAGAGAAAACUGACGGCAAAAAUAUGCUUGCUUUGUGUAAAACGUUUGAAAUGCUUGACGCACUUUAUUAUUACAACCUGUCUUUCAGCCUGGGUUGCCAUAGUGAUUGCGGCCUGCGUGCUGAACUUCCAUGGGGCCAUUGGGCUGCUGGCGCUCUCCUUGGCGGCGCUCUUCUUGCUGUGGGAUUGGAUGACGGGGCGCUAUGGUGACUGGGCGUGGGAGGAGCUUCUUGUCAGAGAGCACGUCAGCAGACACUGGUUCAGGAUCAGAUGCUGCUGCCCCCACAACCCGAUCUCGGAUAAGCGGUAGAAGAUGGAUGGAUGGAUGGAUGGAAAAAUUAAGGAACUUUUCAUGGAUUUUCAUGUCCUAUUCAGAUGUUGGAGCUCGUUUUAUCUUCAGGGAAAUUUACCAGGACCGCUUCUUCAUCUUCAAGUAAUGCCGGUACUGUACUUAUUUUUCUGAGCGCCGUCAUCUCCAUGCGCUACCACCUGGGCUUCAUGCAGUUGCUGGUUUGUAAGAUUGGAGUCAUAAUGCCGGUUGCCAUGGGAACAUCUCCAGCUGAAUCAAUGGCUGCAGGUGGAAAUACGUUCUUGGGCCAGAUGUGGCGGCAUGACAAUAAGCAACAACAGAGAGCACGAAAAAUCCAAGACUUGACACAAACGUUAAUAAUCACAUCAAAUCAACAUUUCUUUUUCUAUCAGGCACAAACUCCUCGUUUGAUGCGACCGCACGUCAGUGAGCUCACGCUCUCCGAGAUCCACGCUGUACCAACGAGAGGCUUGGCCAGCAUUUCUGGCACCAUUUUAGCAGUCUUCAUCUCCUUUGGGCGUCAAUGGCUCCAAAAUCACCUCUCCACUCGGGGCAUGCGAUCUGUGAUUGCAGCCUGCGUUUCCUGUUUCUUGACAGCUUGUGUCACAGGUCAUGCAUACUUUACUUAUUCAGUUCUAUGUUAGUCCACUUAAGCAUAAUUCAUCGCUAAUUGCUUUUUCGCCCAUAAAACGCUUAUCUUAUAUCUUUUGUAUAUAAAGAUCUUUUUAGAAUUCUGAUUGGGAAGAGAAAUGUACUGCUGGGUAUGCACCAGCACUUCCUCCAAGAGGAUUUUUAAUCAUCCUAUUCAGAACACAUUUGCAUGAAUAUUCACACGCAUAUGUCAUAUUAAUUGGUGGCACAAAGCAUUUAGAUGGGAAUAAAAGCGGGAAUUCUUCUCCUUUCUGUCCAUUUCUGUCUUUUUCUUGUGUUUUCUUUCUUUUCUUGGGAGAAUGAACAGAAUAAGAAUUUCAUUGCGUAGUUUUACUGUUUGAGAUGGUCUGGAUUGGCGUUUUCUAGGGGUGUCCAAACUUUUUCCAGUGAGGGCCAUUUAAGGAAAAAUGAAAGGAUGCAAGGGCCACUUUGUUAUUUUGUAAAGCACCAUGUGCAGACAUGCUGUGACUUAUAUAUAUUUUAAAAACUGCAUCUCAGCUUUGUGAUAUAGUAUGAACUUUGGUCUUUUAACCCUCAUUUUUGCUGAUUUUUUUAAUUAUGACAUUU